rnacentral:lncRNA from 1 species
UGCGCAAGGCUUGAAUGGCGUCGGGGUUGGAGGGUUGGAAGGUCGGGAAGUGAAGGACUCGCAGGCAUAUUUACCAACGCAAAGUUGCUAGGAGUUGGUACCAGCGUUUGGGAGGUAGAGGUGGCGCUCAUGCAUAUUUGAGACAACAUCUGGAUGGUUGGGGAGAACGGUGAUGCCACACUCAAUCAGAAACUAUGCUACUGCUGAAGAGGUAUAUUGAGCCCUGCCUGGUUAACCUCCAGUGAGGUUAUUAGAGAAUUGGGAGAGGCUCAAAUCAGCAUCCUGCACCUAGUUAUCAAACCAUUGUGAAUUCUUGCAAGUUCAUCAGAGGGCGAGGAUGAAUUACGGUUGCCAUGAAUGUCCUUGUGAGGCAGUUGGGAAGCCUUGGCUGGAUUGUGAAGGAUAUUUGAAAAGUAUUUUAGAGUCCACCAGAUCAUCCAUGUGAGUGACCAUGCAGCAAAAGAAGGAGGGUCCUCUCAGUGAUUAAGGUAACAUAGUGAUUAAGGAUUAUGAAGUAUUAAUUCUUCCACUGAUAUCUCAAAAGGUGAUCUGGACAAAGGAACAGGUAUCUCAG